rnacentral:lncRNA from 1 species
GCUCGAAUUUUUUUUUUGCUCCCCCCCUCAAAUGUUUAUUUUUCGGCUUUAUAGCCGAUUACAAAACUAGAGAAAUAUUAUUUAUUUUUUGUCCUAUUCUGUUUGGUCUGCUUCUGUCUUUGCAGGGUAUGGAGGUGUCAGGGAAGUGGAGGAGAAGCAUCCGGUGGCAGACGGUAUGGGAGUGACCAGGGAUGGUGCUAGUGUCAGAGGAAAGUGGGGUGUGGUAGCCAAUGUUUCUUGUUGUCUG